rnacentral:rRNA from 1 species
UACAGAGGGUGCAAGCGUUGUUCGGAAUUAUUGGGCGUAAAGCGCGUGUAGGCGGCUUUGCAAGUCGGAUGUGAAAGCCCUCGGCUCAACCGAGGAAGUGCGUUCGAAACUGCAGAGCUUGAAUAUGGAAGAGGACAGUAGAAUUGCUGGUGUAGUGGUGAAAUACGUAGAUAUCAGCAGGAAUACCGGUGGCGAAGGCGACUGUCUGGUCCAAUAUUGACGCUGAGAAAACGAAAGUGCGGGGAUCAAACAGG